rnacentral:tRNA from 1 species
GACCCUAUCGUCUAGUGGUUAGGACACCGCCCUUUCACGGCGGGAACCGGGGUUCGAAUCCCCGUAGGGUCGCCA